CAAUAGCGUAUAUUAAAGUUGUUGCGGUUAAAAAGCUCGUAGUUGGAUUUCUGCCGAGGACGACCGGUCCGCCCUCUGGGUGAGCAUCUGGCUCGGCCUGGGCAUCUUCUUGGAGAACGUAUCUGCACUUGACUGUGUGGUGCGGUAUUCAGGACUUUUACUUUGAGGAAAUUAGAGUGUUUCAAGCAGGCAUACGCCUUGAAUACAUUAGCAUGGAAUAAUAAGAUAGGACCUCGGUUCUAUUUUGUUGGUUUCUAGAUCUGAGGUAAUGAUUAAUAGGGAUAGUUGGGGGCAUUAGGUAUCUUGACUGUCAGAGGUGAAAUUCUCCGAAUUUUGUUAAAGACUUAACAUUAUGCGAAAAUGCAUUUGCCAAAGGAUUGCUUUU
rnacentral:rRNA from 1 species